rnacentral:rRNA from 1 species
CCCUUAGAUGUUCUGGGCCGCACACGCGCUACACUGGCAGGUUCAUCGAGCUUCAUGCCCUGAUCUGAGAAGAACGGGAAAUCUUUGAACACCUGCCGUGCUUGGGAUAGAUGUUUGCAAUUAUUAAUCUUCAACGAGGAAUGCCUAGUAGGCGCAAGUCAUCAGCUUGCGUCGAUUACGUCCCUGCCCUUUGUACACACCGCCCGUCGCUCCUACCGAUUGGGUGUGCUGGUGAAAUGUUCGGAUCGGCCGUUUGUCGCGGUUUCCGCGUCAUGUGGCUGAGAAGUUCAUUAAACCCUCCCACCUAGAGGAAGGAGAAGUCGUAACA